UCCCUCUCUGAAUCUGACCUUACUAGAUCGAAGUCCUACCUAACUCCAAAAUAUAUGCAUGUAUGAUCAUGUAUAGCAAACAAACAUGCAACUCAAGCAAUCAUCAAAAUCAUCUAAAAAUCACCUAAAAAUCAUCUAAAAAAUCAUCAUCAAAAUAUAUGCAUGUAUGAUCAUGUAUAGCAAACAAACAUGCAACUCAAGCAAUCAUCAAAAUCGUCUCAAAAAUC
rnacentral:lncRNA from 1 species